rnacentral:rRNA from 1 species
UACGUAGGGUGCAAGCGUUUGUCCAGAAUUAUUGGGCGUAAAGAGCUCGUAGGCGGUCUGUCGCGUCGGCUGUGAAAACCCGGGGCUCAACCCCGGGCCUGCAGUCGAUACGGGCAGACUAGAGUGCGGUAGGGGAGACUGGAAUUCCCGGUGUAGCGGUGAAAUGCGCAGAUAUCGGGAGGAACACCGGUGGCGAAGGCGGUUCUCUGGGCCUUACCUGACGCUGAGGAGCGAAAGCGUGGGGAGCGAACAGG